UACGGAGGGUGCAAACGUUGCUCGGAAUCAUUUGGGCGUAAAGCGCACGUAGGCGGACCGCUAAGUCGGAUGUGAAAGCCCUCGGCUUAACCGAGGAAGUGCAUUCGAAACUGACAGUCUUGAGUAUGGAAGAGGGUCGCGGAAUUCCCGGUGUAGAGGUGAAAUUCGUAGAUAUCGGGAGGAACACCAGUGGCGAAGGCGGCGACCUGGGCCAAUACUGACGCUGAGGUGCGAAAAGCGUGGGGAGCA
rnacentral:rRNA from 1 species